UACGAAGGGUGCGAGCGUUAUUCGGAAUCACUGGGCGUAAAGAGCGUGAAGGCGGUUCUCUAAGUCAACUGUUAAAGAGCUCGGCUUAACUGAGCAAGUGCGGGUGAUACUGGAGGGCUAGAGUGCAGGAGAGAAAGGUAGAAUUCUCGGAGUAGCGGUAAAAUGCGUAGAUCUCGAGAGGAAUACCGGUUGCGAAGGCGGCCUUUUGGCCUGCUACUGACGCUAAAGCGCGAAAGCGUGGGGAG
rnacentral:rRNA from 1 species